rnacentral:sRNA from 1 species
AUAAAUUGCUUAAUCUUUUUUCUAAGAACGGGGGACCCAAUUUUUACAGCGGACAUGUCCGUUUGGGGUGAAUCUAUGUAUGUUAGAGGGGCUUACUGUUUCCCUUAGCCCUAACCCGAAAGCUAACCUCGUCAGCAUUAAAGGAA